CAUAUGAAGAACUCCCAUCACCGUGAUGCAUCGCGGCUGGAUGCUCUUCUGCAACAAAAAACGGAUCUGUGUGUAUAUACAUAUAUCGCAUAAUACCUAGGGACGUCGAAGGAGCUUUUGGAGCUUACGCGAAAGAAAAAAAGAAGGAGUUACAAAAAAAAAA